GCAUUCCAGCAGACCCUCUGGAGCGUGGCCACUGUCUGCUCUGGCAGCGAGGUGGCCCAAGGGUUCAUGAUCGGCGGGGACGUGCUGAGGCUGCUCCAUGGUCACAUGGAUGAAUGUCUGACGGUGCCGUCGGGAGAACAUGGGGAGGAGCAGCGCAGGACGGUGCACUACGAGGGGGGAGCUGUGUCCAUCCACGCCCGCUCCCUCUGGAGGCUGGAGACGCUACGAGUU